rnacentral:ncRNA from 2 species
UAGUAUUACUGGGGGUGCCUGUGAGCCAGGCUGAGAAAGGAACGCGAUGAAGUUCCUUAACCCUUUGGACCUGAUCUGGGUAAUGCCAGCGUGGGGAAGUAAACAACGGGUACA